UCUGCAGCCAUAUUCGUAAGGCCUAAAUUUAUUCAUACCCAUGUCUUUUACCAGCACAAACACAAACGAUGGCACUCAAACUCUCUCUCUCACGCUCUUGUUCUGUCGCACACAAACACAAGCCUGGAUUAGUCACUUAAAUGGACACACACAAACACAAUGACAGACAAUUACGCUUCCAGUGAUAUCACACUUAUACAUCAGCUAUUACCUCAGGUUCGAUAAACCCCUUUGUGUCAGGGAUUUAGUCAGCCUUGGUGCGUAGUACGUACUCUCCCGUUGCUAUAGCGACCUUGUCUGUGUGAGAUCCGCAAAAGCCCAUAAUACUCUGCAGACCGUAUAUCUGCCCUACAGAAGUCUGUCUCUCAUUUAGUCUCACACACUCCACACACACAGCUAGUAACGCAGCCCUCCUGCUCUGUGUCUGGACUGCUCUCCUGCCAUUGAACUUUUAUUGAGAGAAAAAGAAAGACUUUUUAUGUUUGGAAAAUCAUCAUGUGAAAUGUUUCCACACAAACAAUAUUGUUCCAUAAAAAAAAAAAAAAAAAAAAAACUCAACAUAAUAAUUAUUGUGCCAUUGCUGCUUUCUGUGUCUGUCUCACUCUGUCUCUUUUCCAGCACAAAGGCCCUUGACCUGCAGCUGUGCAUGGUCAUGCGUGAGGCUGGAGAAGAAGACAGCAAUUACAGAGCUGGAAAACGAGUGCACUUGCCGCCUGCACCUCAGAUUUGUGCAACAGCAGUGGCUUCUCAGGGAGGCAUUAGCCCUGCUACAGUCGUCUCGUGGGGAGAUGACGACUGUUAAGAACCAGUUAACUCACUUCCUGGAGACCUGGGAAAACAGCAAAGCACUGAUGCAGCAGAGUUGCAUCAGCGCUGAUACAGAGUGUGCUUGUCUGAAGCAGGAAGUGGACAGGUUACAGAUGGACCUGAAGAGGCUGCAGGUGGAGGGGCCAAACCUGAAGUCAUGUCUUGAUGCUGCAAAAGAACAGAUGCUGCAGUUGGAGAACCGGUCCAGACCCAGAAACUACUGCAGAACCAAAACCAAGAAGCCCAGUUUCUCUUACAGUGUUUGUAUUCCCAGAGUUUAAAGGUGAAGUGUGUCAUUUUUGCUAUUAGCAGCAAACAGAAUUGCAUUAAUAAUAAUAAUAUAUUUUCAAUGCUCAGGAGGUCACCCAUCCAAAUGCCCAGCAGUUUUUGUGUUCAUUUUCUCUGUCCUCCAUUGUUUGUCCGGCAGGUGUUUUGGAGUUGCAGUCUCACACCUUGUCAGUAUCCAGACAUUUUCAGUUCUUGUCUGCAUAUGUUUGUGUGGUGUUUAGUGUGUGUAUUGUGAUGUUUUUCUUAGGCAGGUUUUUAGGGUUAAACACAGCUUAAUGUUUAA